rnacentral:rRNA from 1 species
UAAGGAAUAUUGGACAAUGGAGGCAACUCUGAUCCAGCCAUGCCGCGUGAAGGAAUAAGGCCCUAUGGGUUGUAAACUUCUUUUAGACGGGACAAAACCCCUUUACGUGUAAAGGGUUGAUGGUACUGUCAGAAUAAGCAUCGGCUAACUUCGUGCCAGCAGCCGCGGUAAUACGAAGGUUGCAAGCGUUAUCCGGAAUUAUUGGGUUUAAAGGGUGCGUAGGCGGACUAAUAAGUCAGUGGUGAAGCCUGCAGCUUAACUGCAGAAUUGCCACUGAUACUGUUAGUCUUGAGUACAGUUGAGGUAGGCGGAAUGUGUCAUGUAGCGGUGAAAUGCUUAGUUAUGACACAGAACACCGAUUGCGAAGGCAGCUUGCUAAGCUGUAACUGACGCUGAGGCACGAAAGCGUGGGGAGCAAACA